GGGGGCGCCAUGGUUUCGACUGGAAGUCUGCGGUGCUGGCUGCAUGUGAAGGUUAAUCGGCUGGCCUUCUAAAAAGCCGAUUAAAAAAAUAAAUGCAGAGUCUAACGACCUUGCUCUGGCUGCCUAAUUAGUUCAGCCGCGUCAGAACCUCAACGCCUGCUAGAGGGGAUGAUGAAAGCUUAGCAGGCUGGUGCAAUGCGGGGUUGCCGCGCAGCGCACGAGACUUCCACAGGCAACUAGCGAGCCUGCGUAGUUGGCGCAUGACGAAGCGGCCGCGAAACGCAGCAACAUGCGUCUGAACAUGGAGAUGCCGGUAUCAACGGCCUUCAGGACACGGGUUCGACUCCCGUCGCCUCCACCA
rfam:Akkermansia sp. KLE1798 genomic scaffold Scaffold25, whole genome shotgun sequence.